CGUGGAGGGGGCCAGCGUCGUGGAGAGGCUGUGUCUCGGGACGUGGGACUGGGUGGCUGCACUCCCUGCUGCGGCCGUGUCCCUGCUCUGUGGGAACCUGACAGACAACAGAGAAUCAAGUGCACUGGGAGAGGAAGCCUAAGGUGCUACGAUGCUUCCCGAAGUUCCAGUUGACCGCCGUGACUGAAGUGAGAGGUGCUCCACACCUUGGUGUUGCCUCCGUCCGUACUGGUAGAAUGCGAAGCCUCACCCACCUUGCCCAUGCCCACGUCACCAUCGCAGCCAGAGACAAACUGGCCACUGCUUGUCCAGAGUCUCCGACACGUCGCAGAAGGAUGCAGAGGACGUGGCUCUCCAUCCGCUCGCACCGUGACCUCGCGCUUGGUCCCCACUCUGAGGGCCUGGGCUCAGGCUGCACGGGCUGGACUGAGGGUGGUGGGAGCUGUGGUUCUGUGCGUUUCUCCCGUGUCGCAGGCAGGAGCCAGGUGCUGCUGGUGGGAGGUGGGUGUAUUGGAUCCCUCCUCUAGUUAGCACGCAGCGGUGAGUCAGGUGGCCAGAUUGCUCGUCGUGUGAGCCUGAAUUUGCCUGAGAAGCCUAAAGAGCCAAAAGGCUCUGUUCUCCCCUCCCAAGAUGCAAAAGGAAGAACAGAAUCUCGACCUUGGGUCAUUAACCUUCAGUGUGCAGGGCUGGUGCAGGAAUACCUAGCAGUGUUGGGGCCGACGAUCAUAUUCACCAGGAGGAACAAAGGUGUGCUGUGUUUGAAGGGAAGAGGGUACCAAGGAUCCAGGUGAAUUUAUGAGCUGAAUUGCUAAAUAAUAAGAUGCUGAAUGUUGAAAACCAGUAUUAGAAGCAACAAGGAAUGCUACCGCGCAGAUCCAGUGGUGGGCCUGGGUUUCCAGCCCUGGCUGUGCUGUUGGACUCUGAAGUCGGCUUUGCAAGCCUCAUUUUCCCCUUGGGGAGACGGGGCCAAGCAGGCUCCCCAGCUCCCUCCCACUCUGGGUAUUUGAGAUCGUGCUUCACGCUUUUAAGGACUCGGGUGAACACUCACCUGCUCCUCCUUCGAGGGAGAUGAGUGAGCACCUGACGCCGAGCUGCACUGGCCCGUUUUGCACAGUGGAUGUGAGCGAGCUGUCAACAGUCCAGCUGCGAUGCUGAGACUCGAAAGAGACUGGCACAGGGCGGAGCCCCAGCCGACAGGGAAUCGCACACAUCCACCACGGACGGGUGUCCCUGGACAGCAGGACCACAGCUGACUGCAGCAUUUCGGGUUUGUACAGAGCCUGGAAAACAGCCCUGACUUCAGGGCCACCGUGAAAGAGCUUGCUGAGCAAGCCCUUCAGACCUUCCCGUCGGGAGCACAGACCUACUCCUCUGUUCUCGUGCCAGUCUCACAGCCGCUGUGCGCCAAGCAGAGGCUAGUGCAGCCUGGACUGUGAGGACACAGCUGGGACUGCCACCGCGCCCACACCUCGAGCACUGUCUUCCAGGAUUGCCCCACAUACCAGGUCCCUGGCACACUUCCUACCUGCUGUCCUCGCCUUCCUUAUCUAAAGAUUUAAAAGUGAGGCCAUGCCUAAAUUAAUUGUCCUUGUUCACUCUCGGUGCUGGAACAUAAUACCUUAGCCGGGGCAAUUUAUACCUAACAGAGUUUAAGCCGCCAGAGUCUGA